ACUCCUACGGGAGGCAGCAGUGGGGAAUAUUGCACAAUGGGCGCAAGCCUGAUGCAGCCAUGCCGCGUGUAUGAAGAAGGCCUUGGGUUGUAAAGUACUUUCAGCAGUGAGGAAGGUGGAUAUGUUAAUAGCAUAUUCAUUUGACGUUAGCUGCAGAAGAAGCACCGGCUAACUCCGUGCCAGCAGCCGCGGUAAUACGGAGGGUGCGAGCGUUAAUCGGAAUUACGUGGCGUAAAGCGCAUGCAGGUGGUUUGUUAAGUCAGAUGUGAAAGCCCGGGGCUCAACCUCGGAAUUGCAUUUGAAACUGGCAAACUAGAGUACUGUAGAGGGGUAGAAUUUCAGGUGUAGCGGUGAAAUGCGUAGAGAUCUGAAGGAAUACCGGUGGCGAACGGCGGCCCCCGUGGACAGAUACUGACACUCAGAUGCGAAAGCGUGGGAGCGAAACAGGAUUAGAUACCCCGUGUAGGUCAGUC
rnacentral:rRNA from 1 species